UACGGAGGGUGCAAACGUUGCUCGGAAUCAUUGGGCGUAAAGCGCACGUAGGCGGCUCCUCAAGUCGGAUGUGAAAGCCCUGGGCUCAACUCAGGAAGUGCAUCCGAAACUGUGGAGCUUGAAUGCCGGAGGGGCCCAGAGAAUUCCCGGUGUAGAGGUGAAAUUCGUAGAUAUCGGGAGGAAUACCAGUGGCGAAGGCGCUGGGCUGGACGGUCAUUGACGCUGAGGUGCGAAAGCGUGGGGAGCAAACAGG
rnacentral:rRNA from 2 species